rnacentral:rRNA from 1 species
GGUAAUUUUCCGCAAUGGGCGAAAGCCUGACGGAGCAAGACCGCGUGGGGGAAGAAGGCUCUUGGGUUGUAAACCCCUUUUCUCUGGGAAGAAAGUUGUGAAAGCAGCCUGACGGUACCAGAGGAAUCAGCAUCGGCUAACUCCGUGCCAGCAGCCGCGGUAAGACGGAGGAUGCAAGCGUUAUCCGGAAUGAUUGGGCGUAAAGCGUCCGCAGGUGGCAGUUCAAGUCUGCUGUCAAAGACCGGGGCUCAACCUCGGAAAGGCAGUGGAAACUGAACAGCUAGAGUAUGGUAGGGGCAAAGGGAAUUCCUGGUGUAGCGGUGAAAUGCGUAGAGAUCAGGAAGAACAUCGGUGGCGAAGGCGCUUUGCUGGACCAUAACUGACACUCAGGGACGAAAGCUAGGGGAGCGAAUGGGAUUAGAUACCCCAGUAGUCCUAGCCGUAAACGAUGGAUACUAGGUGUUGUCUGUAUCGACCCGGACAGUGCCGUAGCUAACGCG